GAGGGUACAGCUCAGUAGUGGAACACAUGCUUAGCAUGCAUGAGGUCCUGGGUUUAAUCCUCAGUACCCCCA
rfam:Camelus ferus unplaced genomic scaffold scaffold689, whole genome shotgun sequence.